UUAAAAUUAGUUAAAAAAUAACACGAGCUUGUCAAGCUCGAAUUAUUACAAAGUAAUAUUUUAAA
rnacentral:tRNA from 1 species